GAAUUCAAUGCCCAGGUUUCAGUUGGUAUAAAAGUGGAGAUCCGAAAAUGAACCCGGCAGUCUUCGGUUCACUUUCGUCCAGGUAGAUCUCUUCCUCUUUCUGCAUCUACGCCUCACUUUACAAACAUGGCGAGGCACACGCUGUUUCUUGUAUUGGUGUUAGUGAUUGUAACAAUGGCCGCUGCCAUGCCCCGAGUCUUCGAAAGGGUUAAGCGAUCUCCGGAUCCGAGUCAUUGGAAUAAAAAUCGCUAUGGUAACAGAGGCUACUACGCAGUCCCUAGUUAUGGUGGCUAUGGCUACAACCCUCAACCAUAUUGGGGGGGUGGUGGAUUUUCCUCAGCUUCGGCGUAUUCGAUUAAUGGCUUUUCUGGUGCGAGUGCGAAUGCAGCGUCAUUUGGUAGAUAAGGACGCCUCUGAAAAGCCCCAGUUGAUCGAAUGGUGUCGGUUUUGCCGUGGAUGAUUGCGACGGUGUUACACAAACUGAUAUAUAAUGACAAGUGUAUAAUAAUUAUCGUACGAUAAGUGAAAAAAAUAAAAAUAAAAAUUUUGUAAUUUUGUCACUAUAAAUAUUGUAUACCGUCAUUUUAAUCGAUCAUUUAAAAAUUCUAUGCAGAUACAUUUCUAUGGUCCGUGUAUUGAUUGAUUGAACCACUUUUACCCUCGAAUCCUUGGAUAUAUAUUUUGUAACUGAAAUCAGUGCUGAUACCGAAUUUUCAGAAUUAUCGAAACGUUAAACAAUUUCGUAUAAUACAGCUGUGUAUGUGACUGUGAAGAGUGGUACGGUAUAUUAAAUCGAUGAUCGGGUGUUUUAUUUGCAUUGGCGUUAGAAAGAUGACUGAAACUCAAUUUAUUUCCGACCGCAAGAAAUUAUGUCGUCUCAAUCGUUGAUUGGUUUUUUUUUUUUUUUUUUUUUUCUAAUUAAAAUCUAAUUUGAAUGGAAUUAUUUGCGACCUCGUUAAAUUUCUCAGCAAAGCGAUACUUCGAAAUUAAGUUUACGAAUGAUUCGAACUUGUUUUUCAUAUUAGCACAGCUGUGUCUUCGACUAUUCUGUGUUAAUAGUCAAAUUUAUAAUUAACAAUUGGUUGUAGCUACCAAACAUGAUCUGUAAUUUCGAGGUUUGAAUGUCAAAUGAACACAAGCUGUGAAAUUAGUGCAAGACCCGAAUUAAUUUCGUAAUACUUUUCCAGAGCGAUAAAUACAGGAAUAAAAUUUUUAUAUGUAAUAGCACAAAUCAUAAUUUUAUGAUACAUUCUUCGUGACUGUUUAAUAGUAAGCUUAUAUCUCUCGCAAUUCCAAUGCUUUUGAACUUAAUCAAUAUAAUAAAUGUACAAUAUUGUGGAAUACAUAUUUUUUUUAUGAUCGUAAGUUCCACUGCGAUUUUAGCAAAUUAUGAAAACCGUCCAAGACAGAGACAGACAAAGCAGUCCAGUUGGAAAAGAAGCCUACAAUUCAUUCUCAUUUAAUUUAAUUUUAACAUGGAUUAUAUAAACCGUCAAAAGAAAAGGAUCAAAAAGAAAUGAAGGUAAAAACUCGCGGUUUUAAAUAAUAUGUUGCCAAAAAUUUAUUCUUCACGUUCGGAUGUGCGAUGAGCGGAAAGUUUCGACACAAUAAGAAGAAAAAAAAAAAAAAACAA